UACGGAGGGUGCAAGCGUUAUCCGGAUUCACUGGGUUUAAAGGGUGCGUAGGUGGGCAGGUAAGUCAGUGGUGAAAUCUCCGGGCUUAACCCGGAAACUGCCAUUGAUACUAUCAGUCUUGAAUACCGUGGAGGUAAGCGGAAUAUGUCAUGUAGCGGUGAAAUGCUUAGAUAUGACAUAGAACGCCAAUUGUGAAGGCAGCUUACUACCCGAAUAUUGACACUGAGGCACGAAAGCGUGGGGAUCAAACAGG
rnacentral:rRNA from 1 species